rnacentral:miRNA from 1 species
AGGGCUGGGCCCGGGACGCGG